AUCUCGCUCGAGAGAGUAGAAUUGAAUGCGACCCAAAAGGGAACGUGCAUGUCAAAACAAAAUGUGGUUCGUCUCGCGGCGAGUUGUAGGUCGUUCAAAUAUCGAUUAUUUUGAUAAGGAAUUUGUGUUGUGGAAAAUUUCCAUCGUAUCUUGGAAUGCUGCGAAUUAACUCCUAUCUCCUUAUCAGAUGUGCGCUAAUUCGGAUUGCGUAAUCGGAGUUUUUGUGAUAAAAAAACAACGUCUCCAUGUUUCGUGUUUUGUUGAAUUAAAUUCAAUCGUAUUUUGGGAACGUUAGUUACGUAUAAACGUUUUGGAUACCUGUUAUGAUCGAAAUUCGCAUACAAUCCGCAAAUAAUAUUUUGUUUAUUUUAUUAGUUGUGUUCCACUUUUUUGCACGUUUAACGUGAAAUGUCGGCGAACUCUGGUGGUGGCGACAGACAUCGUGCUCGUACAACUUCUAUUGGAUUUGGACUUGGAGCGCUGCGUGUCUCAUUUCGGGGAUUAUUAAAAGAUUCGAGCUUAAAGCAUUACUGACGUCAGAUAAGGCCAAUUGAUUUUUGUAGCCUUUAAACAAAACCGCCGAUAGUUUCAAGAUAAGAGUAAGGAGCCAAAUAUGAUGAAUUGACAUUCAAAAUCAAAGGUCACCAAUUUUGUAAAAACAAAUCACUAUCGUUGGUUAAUAAAUAAAACAAAAGGUAAACAUUGCAAAGUAGUUCUAAUCAUUCAGCUGCUGGUUGUCACGUUGGAAACAAAAUAUGAAAAAAAAAACGUGACGAAUCAAUAAACAUUGAACAAAAAAGUGAUAUGUGGCGGCAGCGAGAUUUUAUCAUCCUAUAAACACAAAUAUCAUAAAGUUUAUGUUUUUGGACUUCUGUUUAAUUCAUUGAUACCGUAUCUACUUCCUAUGGGAAUUACGUAAUAUCGUUAUCUAAUCUUACACUCUUAUCCAGUAUUAGAUGCCUUAAUUAAAGCACUCUGCAUAAGAGCCUUCUGUUCUACCUAAGGUCCUUCCAUAGUCUAGAUGCAAAGAUACUGUGGUCCUUUUUUGGUGUUUGGAAGUGACGUUUUCGUCUUCCUAAUAGCAUUGAAUAAAUAAUUCGGAUGUAAACAACCAAUCUUUUUAACGUUCGUUUUUAACUGUAUGCUACCAAGUAUUUUGUGUUGCAUAAGUAACGGGCGAGAUAUGUAAACGUUAUAAUACAAUUGUCAUUUAUUUCAUACGUAACUAGAAUAAAUUAAAGUUUUUUUUCCUGAAUUUCAAUUAAUUGGCGAGGGACAUUGAUCUCCAUUCGAUCAUUUAGUUGUGAAUUAUGUAUUCAGCAUUUUAAAAAUGGCAAAUUAUCUCCUGAAAUAGUCUACCGGGAGAUCCAUUAUGAAUAUAUUUCACCCGAAUCGAAUUACUCCAGAAAAUGCGGCGUUUGAGUCACGCUACGUUUAUUAUUCCAAUUAAAUGGCGGGUCAGCAGAAUUUAUUCUAAACAAAAACAUCACUUUCUAAACGAAUAGGGACAGACUUUGAUGUUAUUGCACACUAUUGUUUAAAGAAGGUAUUUGAAGCUUGUUAAUAUACAGGGUGGUGACUUGCGUAACGCAUCAUAGGGAU